rnacentral:rRNA from 1 species
GGGCCCGCACAAGCGGUGGAGCAUGUGGUUUAAUUCGAUGAUACGCGAGGAACCUUACCAGGGCUUAAAUGCAGAACGACAGGGGUGGAAACACCCUCUUCUUCGGACGGUCUGCAAGGUGCUGCAUGGUUGUCGUCAGCUCGUGCUGUGAAGUGUCGGGUUAAGUCCCAUAACGAGCGCAACCCCUAUUUCUAGUUGCCAGCGGUUCGGCCGGGGACUCUAGAGAAACUGCCAGCGUAAGCUGUGAGGAAGGUGGGGAUGACGUCAAAUCAUCACGGCCCUUACAUCCUGGGCCACACACGUGCUACAAUGGUGGGGACAACAGGUUGCCAACCCGCGAGGGUGAGCCAAUCCCAAAACCCCAUCUCAGUUCGGAUCGGAGUCUGCAACUCGACUCCGUG